GACGAACGCUGGCGGCGUGCUCAACACAUGCAAGUCGAGCGGAAAGGCCCCUUGUGGGUACUCGAGCGGCGAACGGGUGAGUAACACGCGAGUAAUCUGCCCUUCACUUCAGGAUAGCUCCCGGAAACGGGGAUUAAUACUGGAUAUGACACAUUCGAGCAUGUGAGAGCGUGGAAAGUUUUUUGGGUGGGGGAUGUGCUCGCGGCCUAUCAGCUUGAUGGUGGGGUAAUGGCCUACCAUGGCUUCGACGGGUAGCCGGCCUGAGAGGGUGACCGGUCACACUGGGACUGAGACACGGCCCAGACUCCUACGGGAGGCAGCAGUGGGGAAUAUUGGACAAUGGGCGGAAGCCUGAUCCAGCAACGCCGCGUGAGGGAUGACGGCCUUCGGGUUGUAAACCUCUUUCAGCACAGACGAAGCGCAAGUGACGGUAUGUGCAGAAGAAGGACCGGCCAACUACGUGCCAGCAGCCGCCGCAGUAA
rnacentral:rRNA from 1 species